CCUACGGGAGGCAGCAGUGGGGAAUAUUGGGCAAUGGGCGCAAGCCUUACCCAGCAAUACCGCGUGAGUGAAGAAGGUCCUCGGUUUGUAAAGCUCCUUGUUCAGGGGCGUAAAGAUGACGGUACCUGAAGAACAAGCCCUGGCUGACUACGUGCCAGCAGCCGCGGUCAAACGUAGGGGCCGAGUGUUGCCCGGAAUGACUGGGCGUUAAGGGUGCGUUGGGGGUAUAAUAAGAUAGAAGGGAAAUUCCCAGCGCUUAACUCGGGUGCUGCUUCUAAGACUGGUGGGCUUGAGUGCGGGAGAGGUUAAUGGAAUGCGUAGUGUAGCGGUGGAAUGCGUAGAUAUUAGGAGGAACACCAGAGGCGAAGGCGAUUAACUGGACCGGAACUGACGCUGAGGCACGAAAGUGUGGGUAGCGAACAGGAUUAGAUACCCGGGUAGUC
rnacentral:rRNA from 1 species